UCCAUGGUCCCUAGUAUGGUGAUCUACCUUCAGCUGUUGGAGAUCUAUAGCCUGCUUUUAUAUUAUCUAUUGCCAAAAUAGUGAUAUUAGUUUUAAAUAUCUUCGCAUGUUUU